rnacentral:lncRNA from 10 species
GGAAGGCUGAGCCAGCCUCUGGUGCUCACACCUGAGCAUCAGGGCACCAAUUAUUACCUGCCUGAGCCAGGCAACCAGGCAAAGAGACAACCCGUGACAUUUUGCGAGCUGAAAAUGGAAGUGGGACGAAAGAGCGAGGAAGGGAAGAAUAAAAAAGCUACACAACACUAUUGAAGGUCAUAGCUCAAGAACUCAGGCCCACGAAAAACAGUGAAACUUAAUCAUAUUAUAUGACACUUCUCCUGCCCCCCAACAGAUUACAACUGAUAGAGUUACAAAAUAUAGACUCUAUUUAAGGAGUUCUUAGGUAAACCUCAAAACAACAAGAGAGGAGCAAACAAACAAACAAGGAACCUCAGCAUCUGGCAUCAGCAAACACAAAACACAACCCAGCUCGUUGGCAGAUUAACAUGAAAUCUCACUCAAAAGGCCUGGACCCUUCAGCUCCUAUUGCCAGAGACAGCACUUACAGCUUUCAGCAAAACAUUGUAAGACAUGCCAACAGGCAUGGAAAAGCGCAGUAAGAAGAAGGAGAGCAAGCACCAAAACCCAACUCAGAUAUGGCACAGAUGUCGGUAUCAUCAGACGGUGAAUUUAAAAUAACUAUGAUUGAAACAUUACGGGCUCUAGCAGAGGAAGGAUGCAACACGCGAGAACAGGUGGGUGAUGUAAGCAGAGAUGAAAAUUCUAAGAAUCAAAAGGAAGGAAAUGGUAAAAAUCCAAACACUUUAACAGAAAUAAAGAAAUACCUUUGAUGGGCUAUUUAAGUAGACUAGACACGGUCAGAGAAAGCUUUCACAAGCUUGAAUAUGUGUCAAUAAAGACUUCACACACUGAAACACAAAGAGGAACAUGUACAAAAACGUGGUACAUAAUAAACAAGAACCGUGAGACAAUUACAAAAGGAGGUGUGGGUGUGUCAUUGGAAGAACUAAAAGAUAAAAAAGAGAGAGAGGUGAGAAAAUAAGAAUAAGAAAUACUUGAAAUGUUUCUGAGAAUUUUCCAAAAGUAAUAACAGAUACCAAACCACAGAUCCAGGGAGCUCAGAGAACAGUAAGCAGGAUAAAUACCAAAGACGUACACCUGGGAGUAUUAAAUUCAAGCUGCAGGAAACCUAAGACAAAAAGAAAAUCUUGAAAUAAAUUGCAGGGGGUGCAAAACAAAUAAAUGGAAACCUCACCCGAGAAUUACGACAGACUUCUCAUCAGAAACAAUGCAAGCAAGAAGAGAUUUGAGUGAAAUAUUUAAAGUGUUGGAAGCAAAACCCACCAACUCAGAUUUCUGUAUUUAGCAAAAAUAUCCUUCAAAAGGGAAGGAGAAAUAUUUUUCCAGCCAGACAAAACUAAGCUAGUGAACAGCAGAAAUGCCCUUCAGCAAAUGGUAAAAGACAUUCUUAAAAGAGAAAGAAAAUUACAUAGGUCAGAAACACAGACUUACAUUAAAAAAUAAAGCACAUCAGGGAAAGAAUGAAAGUAAAAUAAAAUACUCCAUUUUCUUAUUCUUAAUUUGUUUAAUAGAUUACAAUUAAAAGUUAUAAUAGCCACAAUGUGUUGGGUGAUCAUAGCACACAUAAAUGAAAUGAAUGACUGUGAUAUUACAAGGAGGGAGGGAAGAAUUUGGAAUGCUAUGUUAUAAAGAAACAAUGCCUUCACUACUCACAAAGUGAUACAGCAUUCUUUGAAAGUAGACUUAGAUUAGUUGUAAAUGUAUAUUUUUUAUGGAUGCAAAUUUUGUGAAAAGGGAAAUCACUAAUUUUUUUAAAAAGAAAUAUAAUUGAUAUACUAAUGCAAAUCAGAAAAUGAAAUAAUAGAAAAUGCUCAAUUAAAACUGAAAAAGGCAGAGAAAGAGGGUAAGAUUAAAAAUAGAAGCAGGCUAGGCAUGGUGGCUCUUGCCUAUAAUCCCAGCACUUUGGGAAGCCAAGGAGGAGGGACUGCUUGAGACCAGGGGUUUGAGACCAGGGGCUUAAGACCAGUCUAUGCAACAUAGCAAGACCCUAUCUCUACAAAAAGUUUUUAAAUUAGCUGGGCAUGGUGGCCUGCAUCUAUAGUCCCAGGUACUCAUGAGGCUAAGGUGGGAGGAUUGACUUGAUCCCAGGAGCUGGAGGCUACAGUGAGCUAUGAUCAUGCCAGAGACCACAAGAAAAGAAGGAAGGAAGG